CUUCAUCAAAUUGAAAACACACGCACUGCAAAUGCACAUAACACAAUGAAAUAAAGAACACACUGCAAAUAGGCACAGACCACCUCGGAAAUAUUUAAGUGAACUGCAAAGUGACGAACAUGGCUGGUAAAUAUUUAACAAUGUUUGCUCUGAAAGGUGAGAUUUUUGUUUCCUAAUAUUUAUUUUCCUUUUUGAUUCCUAUAUAUAUAUAGUUACAGUUCGGUUAGUUUGGACUUUCUGUUUGCUUCCUUUUCCCGUUGUCAUGGUUAUUGAUUUGAUUUCAUUAUGUUCACCUGUGUCUUGUUAAUUAUCCUUGUUUGGUCGAUCUAUGUAAAUUUGUGCAGUUUGAGUUUGUCAGGUCUUGAGUUAACUCUGAUGUUUAUUUGUCACUGCCCUUUCCUUUUCUGGAUUUACCUGUGCAGAUUUAUUAAAGACGCUCAGCCUUCAUCUUUGUGUGUGUGUGCGUUCAUCAACACAGAUCUUUACAGAAGACCCAACUGAAAAGGGGAACCACUCCCUUGAGGAACGCCUGGAGGAAUUCCUCGGUCAAGCCCAUCUGACCACCUUCCCGGACAAAUGCUUGAGCAUGUUUUUGCACGCCGGACGAAAACCACCACAGGUGCACAGUUGUCCGGGGAGGGUCCUUGAGGGAGUUUGGCAGACUAUGUUGAGUGGGUGCUGGUGUCAUGUGGAUGCCCAGCCAGCCAUUUCCCCACUACGUGCAGCAUCAGCUAGAGCCCACAGCAGAUGGAGACCAUAGCAUGCCAUGACCAACGAGCCAUUGUCAAGGAGUUACAGAGCUACACCAACGCUGAGGGUGAGCUAAGGCAGUACUCGGGAGAUUUAAUAGACUUUUGCUCAGAAAUACUCCGUCUUCAUCUGUCAUCAUUUGAACUGUUAGGAUGUACUCCCACUAGGUGUUCUGAACCAUGCCCGAGUGUGUUUGACCCCCAAAGCCUGGUGCGCCUGACUUGUGUGAGCGUUCCGUGCCGCACUCAGGCGUGGUUCAUUUAGCCGGCCCUGGCCCAGUUAGAAGAGGUGGGCAGGGCACGGUUUGGUUGGGUUUGGGCGCAGUGCACAUGCAGUGUGAGCGCUAACCGUGCCAGAGCACGGAACAGAUACCAUUUUGUGUGCGUUACUGUCAUUAUGACCGCAAACAUAUUAUUACAACUACUACACUACACUUUUCAAUAGUGGUCAUGGUUAUUGAUUUUGUCAUUGUUCAGCUGUGUCUUGUUAAUGAUCUCUGUUUGGUCGGUCUAUUUAAAUUGAUGUCUGUGCAGUCUGAGUUUGUCAGGUCUUGAGUUAUCUCUGUGUAUGUGUCACCCGCCUUCCCUUUCUGGAUUUACCUUUUGCAUAUUUAUUAAAGACUGUCAGCCUUCAUCAUUUGUGUGCGUGUUCAUCGACAGAGAUCAUUACACACGUAUAUUAAUGUAAGCGUGUGUGUAUAUAUGAUCAUAGCCUAAAUAAGCUGACAGAAGUUAUUUUAUUUUUACUUUUAUUACUACCCUUACAAAAAAUAACCAUAGGACAGCCUAGGGAUUUACUAAUAAAAUUAAUUUAUGAAUACAUUUCUUGUAUAAAAAAUGUUUACAAGUUAAACCAUGGAUUUACUACACUAACCAUAGUUUAACCAUGGUGGGCUAUUUGUACAACUGCGUUAUACAAAUGUAAUCAAUAUGCCAAAUAUAAUUAAAUUAAAUAUAUGUCACACCCCUGGACUCAUAAUGUUGUUUUCCCUGCAUGUGUUCCAUUCCCCAUGUUCUGUGUGACCCAGUUUCUGUCCCUCCUUGAUUAGUUCCUAGGUGUGUUUCUGUUGAUCAGUCAUUCCAUUCACCUGUUUUUCACAAUUAGCCUGCCUUUAAAUACCAUAGUCUUUCAGUUUAGUUUUGUCGGGUCUACCAUGCAGUUAUAUAUGUGUGUCUUCCUCCUGUGUUCCAUGUUGGAUUUACCCCUGUGUUGGAUUAAUAAAAGCUCUCUUGAUUACUCUCCACUCCGUGUUCCUUCCGGCAGCAUAGCGUGACAGAAGACCCGACCACGAAACAGUUUGAAUUUCGUGUCUCCCCUCCGUUUG
ensembl:lncRNA